rnacentral:rRNA from 1 species
AGCGGGAAGCCACCUGGCGACAGGGAGCGGAACCCGAAAGCCUGUCUCAGUUCGGAUUGGAGUCUGCAACCCGACUCCAUGAAGCUGGAUUCGCUAGUAAUCGCGCAUCAGCCACGGCGCGGUGAAUACGUUCCCGGGCCUUGUACACACCGCCCGUCAAGCCAUGGAAGCCGGGGGUGCCUGAAGUGCGCUGCCGCAAGGAGCGCCCUAGGGUAAAACCGGUGACUGGGGCUAAGUCGUAACAAGGUAGC